GCCCUGUGGAUAACUCAGUUGAUAGAAUAUGAGACUGAUAAUCUUAGGGUUGUGGGUCUGAGCUCCACAUUGGGCA